rnacentral:rRNA from 1 species
UACGUAGAGUGCAAGCGUUAAUCGGAAUUACUGGGCGUAAAGCGUGCGCAGGCGGUGAUGUAAGACAGAUGUGAAAUCCCCGGGCUCAACCUGGGAACUGCAUUUGUGACUGCAUCGCUGGAGUACGGCAGAGGGGGAUGGAAUUCCGCGUGUAGCAGUGAAAUGCGUAGAUAUGCGGAGGAACACCGAUGGCGAAGGCAAUCCCCUGGGCCUGUACUGACGCUCCAUGCACGAAAGCGUGGGGAGCAAACAGG